GAUGAACGCUGGCGGCGUGCCUAAUACGUGCAAGUCGAACGAGGUGCUUUUGUAGCAAUACGAGAGUAUCCUAGUGGCGAACGGGUGAGUAACGCGUUGGUGACCUACCCCAAAGUGUGGGAUAACAGUCCGAAAGGAUUGCUAAUACCGCAUGUGGUCAUUGGAUUUAGAAACUGAUGACUAAAGGAGCAAUUCGCUUUGGGAGGGACCUGCGUCCCAUCAGCUAGUUGGUGAGGUAACGGCUCACCAAGGCGGCGACGGGUAGGGGACCUGAGAGGGUGGCCCCCCACAAUGGAACUGAAACACGGUCCAUACACCUACGGGUGGCAGCAGUAGGGAAUAUUGCUCAAUGGGCGAAAGCCUGAAGCAGCAACGCCGCGUGUGCGAUGAAGGCCUUCGGGUCGUAAAGCACUUUUCUGCGAGAUGAGAAAGGACAGUAUCGUAGGAAUAAGUCUCGGCUAACUACGUGCCAGCAGCCGCGGUAAUAC
rnacentral:rRNA from 1 species